rnacentral:rRNA from 1 species
AUUGAACGCUGGCGGCAUGCCUUACACAUGCAAGUCGAACGGUAACGCGGGGCAACCUGGCGACGAGUGGCGAACGGGUGAGUAAUGUAUCGGAACGUGCCCAGUUGUAGGGGAUAACUGCUCGAAAGAGCAGCUAAUACCGCAUACGACCUGAGGGUGAAAGCGGGGGACCGCAAGACCUCGCGCAAUUGGAGCGGCCGAUAUCAGAUUAGGUAGUUGGUGGGGUAAAGGCUCACCAAGCCAACGAUCUGUAGCUGGUCUGAGAGGACGACCAGCCACACUGGGACUGACACACGGCCCAGACUCCUACGGGAGGCAGCAGUGGGGAAUUUUGGACAAUGGACGCAAGUCUGAUCCAGCCAUGCCGCGUGUGGGAAGAAGGCCUUCGGGUUGUAAACCGCUUUUGUCAGGGAAGAAACGCUCUGGGUUAAUACCUCGGGGUAAUGACGGUACCUGAAGAAUAAGCACCGGCUAACUACGUGCCAGCAGCCGCCGUAACAC